CAGCAGCCGCGGGAAUACGUAGGGUGCAAGCGUUAAUCGGAAUUACUGGGCGUAAAGCGUGCGCAGGCGGUUAUAUAAGACAGAUGUGAAAUCCCCGGGCUCAACCUGGGAACUGCAUUUGUGACUGUAUAGCUAGAGUACGGCAGAGGGGGAUGGAAUUCCGCGUGUAGCAGUGAAAUGCGUAGAUAUGCGGAGGAACACCGAUGGCGAAGGCAAUCCCCUGGGCCUGUACUGACGCUCAUGCACGAAAGCGUGGGGAGCAAACAGGAUUAGAUACCCCAGUAGUCCCUGUCUCUUAACA
rnacentral:rRNA from 1 species